UGCUCAGGUGCCCGUGACUUAUUUCCUGAGAAGUCUCAAAACACGACCAACACCUGUUUGAACUCCUAUAAGAGAGCUUAGCGCCUGCUAUGAUGCAGGUAGGAUACUGAUGUUUAUUUUCAUGACUAGUGCGUGACACAUCCAAAGAAAUUAGCUGUAAAAUGUCUAGUAUUCCUGCAAAAGAACGUAACAGAUCCUGCACGUGGCAGGUACCACGCACAGAUGGCACCAACGGAUGGAUGCUGGCUUCCUCACAUGUUGAGUUGUUGUGGAGUUGCUCUGACGAAGGGGAGCAGCAUUUGUGAGCAUUCAUUCAUGGAGCUGGAGUCUCCUAAGCAAGAAACUACAACUGAUACGAAGAGCAUAACAACACUGAUAGAGCAUAUUCCCAGCUACAAAACACUACUUUUCAACUCAGUCAUCACGAUUAGCUCUGCAUUUUUGCCAGCGAUGAGUGAGAGCCUGCAUGCUACGCGCACAGAAAUCUGCACCAGUGGAGGUGCCCCACCGUCACUGGUGCUGAAAUGCACCACCCACUGCCUCACCGCGCUCACAUCCACUGCUUGGUCUCCAUAAAUAUUCAGCAAGCAUUGAUGAAUGUCAAGAGGUGUAAUUUUUUCUGUGUGGAGGAAUUCAGUGACACCUCUGCUUCAUUUGCGCUCCCAGCCAAAUGCCAUUCUGUCAUGCUGCCUCUCUGCUGCCAUCUGUCGCACAGCCAGAGCACAUAAUGGAAUACUGGUAGGAAGGUUCAACCACUACCGCCAUACCACCAAUGACACCUUGGGCUGAUGAUAUACUAAAAUAAAUACUACCUUUGGGGUAGCACUCAUAGUUUAGGUUAACCCUGAAAACUGAAGUAAAUGACACCUCCCCCUACCUCCCGCAGCCAUUUAGCUACAUCUUCUGGGAUAACUUAGCUAGGAAUCUGUGAUAAUAUUUCAACUUAUCCUCAUUGUAGAAAAACAGCAGAACAAAAGGUUAUCCUUAGAGCUGCAGUUCUAACCGGCAGUGUUUAUUUGGAAUAUUUCUAAAAACAACUUGAAACACCAAACAUUAAUGUUUCCAUUUCCAUGAGCAAGUAGCGAGAUGCAAGUUUAAAACAUACAGUAUAUUUUUCUACGUUAAAGAUAAGGGAUUACACAGUUAGGUUUAGGGAAACCCAUAGGACAAACUGACCUACGACAACAACAAAGAAACGCAUUUCCUGAGAAUUUUAAGAUUGCCAUAAGGACUGUCAUAUAGGACUGUUAUAAA